rnacentral:lncRNA from 1 species
CAGAUGUCCGGGAGCAUUUUGAUACCAUUGCCUGGAUUAGCAUUCCGCAGGAAAAUGAUUCUGCGUUGAUCCGCGAAGAAAUAUUUCUGCAACUUAUUUAUGAGAUGCUAUCUACCCGAAAACUUUGACAUGAAUACUUGGAUGUUGAAGGACCAUGACUUCUCCUUACAGCAAAAGGCAAGAUGCCUCGUUGUGGUCGAUAAUUUAGACCAUCCAAAAACUCGGGAAAAGUUCAAAGAAAUCUCGUGUAUAGUCGAGACAUGCCAAGUGAUCUUCAUAGCCAAGCGUGAUAUGGAUUCAUCGUACAGCCAAAUCAAAGAGCAUGGCUACAAAUUCGAAUCUUAUGAACUGAAGGGUCUAUUGUAUCUGCCACGGGCACACUAUUUAAAGAAUUUCCUGGAAAAGAGUUUUCCUCCUCCAUGGAAGCGACUUUGCGAACAUUUUGUUAGCAAGUGUAAGAGACUGCCUACGGCAAUCGUUUGUGUCUUGCGCAACCGGGAAAAACAGAGGCGGUACUGCUCAUCUUAUACAAUAAAGGAUGAAUGGGAGGUGAGGAUCCCCUCGGAUAACCUCUGUGAUGAAUUUCACGUUAUCCAACAAGUGUUGAAUAACCUUCUUACUUAGGAACUCUUCUGGUUUUUGUACUUGAACAUUUUACCUGAGAAUAGGCCGCUCAGUUGUAUGACAGUUUCUUGUUUAUGGGCUGCGGAAGAAUUCCCAACCGAUCCAGAAAAAGCAGAGCCCUUUUUCGAGUCUCUUCUUUCGAAAAAGUGCAUCCUUCCGGUGGAAAAAAGAAGUGGAGUUCUCUCCACAUUCCAAGUGGACAAGCGUGUACGAGAGAUUAUUGUUUCCUUGUUCGAUCUUUGCGAAUCAGUAAUCAAUACUAGUCAGGACAGCACCAAAUGGCCUGAAGGGGUAAGAUUCCGAUCUGUCCGGGGAACAAUCAGCGCCUUGAAUGAAGAAAAAACCUUCCCACUUUCUUCGAUAUUCGUCGAUGUCUCCUCCGAUGAGGAUAAGCCAACUACUUCCAAAGCUUUGCCAUUGGAGACUUCCGAUACUUCAUUGUUUGAUUUAAAGCAUUCCAAGGUGUUGGAUCUGACAGGUGCACGUUUCCAGAUCAUUCCAGAUGUGCUGUUCGAGCUAACCAAUGUGCGGUACUUGAGCUCAAGGAAUUCGUCAAUCGAAGUAAUCCCAAGUUCGACUGGAAAGCUUACAGAUCUAGAAUUUUUGGAUGCUAAACAUAGCUUGGUUACUGAAUUGCCUGAGGAGGUUGGAAAACUCGAAAAAAUUGUCACAUCCUGAUUUAUCAUCGCAAGAGAGACCCCCUGAUGGAGAGUUACAACCUAAUUGGCUUCAAGACAUUAUGCAGAGUCGGAGGUUCCAAGAACCUAGAAGUGCUCUGUUUUGUGGAAGCAGACAAAAGAAUAUUGGAAGAUCUUGGGAAUCUGACAAAAUUUGGGAAUCACCAAGUUGAGAAAGAAACAUGGUAAGUUGUUGUGCACUUCCCUUGGGAAGUUAAAGGAGCUAAAGUCCCUCAAUUUACAUGCGCUUGACGAGGACGAGAUACUUGAUCUCCAUUACCGAACUUCACCUCCUGAGUCCAAGUCUCAAACUUCACCUCCCAAGUCUCUUAAACAUCUUUACUUGCAUGGCCGUUUGGAGAAGUUGCCGGAUUGGAUAUUGUCCCCCAAUGAUUUGACAAAAAUCGUAUUAAGAUGGAGUCAGUUGGAGGAAGAUCUCCUUGCAACCUUAGGAGAAUUGCCUGAGCUAGUAGAGCUGGAACUGCGUCGGGCUUAUGAUGGAGAACAAUUGGAUUUCGGGCAUGGGCAGUUUCCGAAGCUCAAGAUUUUACUGCUUGAGGAAUUAGAGGGGCUCAGAUCAAUAAAUUUGCAGAACGGAACAAUGCUGAGCCUUGAAAACUUAACCAUCUGCCGCUGUCAAUGGUUGGAAAGUGUACCCUUUGGCAUCGAAUACAUUGGCAUCCAAAAGCUUACGUUUUUUGAUAUGUCUCAUGAAUUCUACGAGAAGGUACGAGAGGACAACGAGAGGAAUAAUUAUGAACUUUUUAAGAACAUAUCAGAAGUCUAUUUCAGACGAUGCGAUGGAGGCCCGGCCACUGGGAAACCCAUCAGGUGGAUAGCACUGAUGAAGAGGUGGAAAGCACAGAUGGAAUCCGUCUAGAAAAAUUCUAUUCGUUCAAGUAGAUCGAAAACUCCCGUUUGACCGUGGAUUUUGUGUCGCUGUUGAGUGUAUUGCCAGUUUCUAAAUCUUGUUCAUGAGUUUCGUUCGUCUAAAUUUUCCUAUGCAUGUUUAAAUGUCGUGGGUGUUUCGAUUUCUCAUGGCCGCUCCACUUCUAAUUUUUAAGAGUAUUUUCUUGUUCAUGAAUCGAGAUUUUCCUCUUCUAAUAUCGAAGGGUGCGACCUUAGAAUAUCUUUGUGACUCAAGAAGUGACUCACCCUCGUAAUUUAACAUGGGCAUUCCCAUGCUAAAAAGUACCAUUGCACCUAAAGGGGCAUAUUGUGAGUCAACUUUAAUUUUAACAAAUACAAUCUAGAAACAUACUCCCUUUGUACAAUUUGGUGCAAUCCUACUCCUUUCACCAUCCAAGAAGCUGGUCAAGAGCUGUACUUUGUUAGAACCUAUUUAUGUAUAUGGUCCCGACCAUCACUCCUUGAUCUCAUUAGAACGGAUCACUACAAUCGAUGUUCUUGAAUAUGAACCCAAAGAGUGGAGAAUGGCAAGUUGUUCAUGAAUGGAGAAUUUUCGGCAAAAAUUUGAGUACGGAUAGAAAUUAGCAUGCUAAUAUGAAUAAAUAUCAGUCAAAAGUUAUGGUAGUUUGAUUCAAUAUCAAAUGGUGAAUCAUCUUUUCUGCUCUCUCUACUGAUGGUAUGAGAUUUGACCUCAAAAUUCAUUCGUAUACUUCCAUAUUUUCUAAAAAUAGAGAUUGGUGUUUCGCAAUUUUAGUAUGAGAGUGCCAAUUUUAGUAUGCCAGUGAUUUGGCACAUGGAAGUAGGGGUGAUCGGGUCCAGGGUGGGUAGGGUCUAGACCUGGACCCUGUACCCGACCCUAUUAUAAUCGGUUCUCUUUUUUUGGACCCUGUACCCGAUCUUGUUUGCGUUGAACCCUGUUCCCGACCCUUUUUCCAGUCCGGGAACAGGGUUAACCCUAUUUAUAUUAGAACCUGUUUCUCUGUCUUGUACUACAUUUCCUACUUCGAGUAAACAUCAAAACUGAGCAUGCAGAACCGCACAUAUGCAUCCACUCUUCAUUCUUCGAUCAUUGAACUUUCAUAUGCUAUGCCCAGCAAGCUUUUUACAGGAUUUUCCAAUUCAGUUUUAUCCACUGCUUCUGUUGGCGUGGGAUGCUUCUUCACCUGGUCAGCCUUCGAUUCGGAAGUCACAUGAUUAUUGUAUAUGGUGGUUGCCCGAUUCGCAUUUGGUGGGCUAGAAACCUUUUGCCACUUAGGCUUUAUUUCCACAACUUUCUUGAGGAGAACUUGCUGCCUGCGUUAGAUGGACAGUUAGAACUGUUAAGAGGAGGAAAAAACCUAAAAAUUCCAACCUUGCACGUGCACUGAAAAGAGACGAUACCUGAUCCCAUUCUUUGGUUUUGGUUCGACACGAAGAGGCAAAGGCAAGGAUGCAAGAGAUGAAUCUGCUAAACUCGCAGCUCUGUGUCCUUCAAUUAAGUAAAAAACUCGAUGAAAGCACUAUGACAGGGCUUCCAUUCUACCUCUUUUAAUGACCUCUACAUCUAUAAGUUAUCAGAACAAUGACAGAGAAACAUUUUGACACAUUUUAAAGCCAAGAAUUCGUGCAUCAAUGUCAAAAAACUAUCCCAAUCAAGGCUUCAAACAUCAACAGAGUUGACCAUCAGUUCUCUGUUCUCCCAAUCAAGAUAAGUGGCAACUUAAUCAUAAUAAUACAAUAAAGAGAUCCUAAACAAAAAUUUCAAUGCGCAUGCCAGAAGAAACAAUUAACCCAAUAUGUGUACUUUGUUCCAGCAGAUACGUCUUUGUAACUAUAACAAGAAACUGAGAUCGCACCACUACAUUGCCUCGAUAUUAAGCUACAAUGACCGGCCAGCAAAGAAGACCCAAAAACAUAGAAACCCCAGAACGCCUAGGUAGAAUCAUGGACAAUAUCCCAUGAAAGCCUCAUGCAAAGUCCAAUCCCAAAGAGCACAAGUAUGGAAAUUUUCAUUGCACUAUUACCAUAUUUGCAUAAAACCUAGACUAAUCUUGUUAGCCAAAAUCGACAGUGAAGUACACUCCUUCAAAUGCAAUGAAAACCUUAAAAAAAACAUCAUCUUCACAUUAUUGACCUCACCAAUCUCAAUGCUCCAACAUAAAUGCAUCAAACUUUCACCCAAAAACAAAAGAUAACCCAAACAUUGAAGGAUAUUUUAAAAGCAGCAAAUGCUCAUUUUUCAGUGUGGCGUAGAAGGCGUUCUGCAUCCUUCUCAGCUUCCAUUUGUUCCUUGAGAUAUAGCAGAUCAUCACUGUCUAGGGCUGCACAAUGAAGCCCAAACAAGGUUCUAGAAACUAAAGGCACGAAAAAAAAAGGAAAGAUAUAAAACUGUAAAAAAAAACCCAGGAAAGAGCUUUCCUAUCACUUCGCUGGGUGCACCGCAGCAAAAGUUUGUCUACGACUAUGCCUACCUCCUCGUCCAUGAAGGUAACCUCCACGUUCUCCAGCAACCUCUUGCAUCUGCUUGCAUCAGCCACCCGGUAAAGGCCAAGAUCCCUGCCCGGGCAUGUUAUCAGAAAACCAUCCUAAUGCAAAUGCUUAAUGGAGAUCGGGAUUGAAGUCAAAUUUUAUGGCGAAACAGACUCCUGGCCUCGACUCGCUAACUAAAAAACAGUCUUUACAAUCUAUCAAGUCAGUGGACAAACCGUAAAUUGCGCUAACCAGUAGAUUUCUACAUUUUAUAACAAAGUUAAACCAAGAGUCGAUUCACAUAUUCUUACAUCAAUACCACAGGCAUGAUCACCGUAAAACGACAACCACCUAAAAUUUCUAUAGACCCGUCUUAAUCCAGAACACAUGAACAGAGGAACCCAAGUUCCUAGCCUAGGACAAAACCUCAAUGCGUAGUCCUCGGGCACAGCACACCUAAGUCCACUGGCGCUUUUCUUUCACUUAAUCCCAUCAUCAUCUAUAUUUUAAGUAACAUCCUUAGAACAUCAUCCCACCAGGAAAGCUAACCCAAAUUGAACCAUUGAUACCAUCUACCUGUUCUAAGCACCAUGGAGGCCAGGAGCUGGCAUACAACACGCACAUCAAACGAAACUGAGCUCGAUCAGGUUCAGAAGAGACAGGAGACAGGGUGGGGGUGGGAGAUGGAUGGGGCUAACCUUGGCGACCAUGUGCUGGAACGUGAUGACCUCGUCGUCUAUAUUGUCCUUCCCCCUCCCCCAUUUCUUAUCUGUUCCGCAAAUCACGACACGACCCAGAAUCCCAUUUCAACGCAAGCACUUUCAGCUCAUAGAGAGAGAACCUCGGAGCGAGCAAUGGUGAAGAGCGCCUGGGCAGUGUUCCUGUACGCCGGGAGGCACACGACUCUACUGUCGUUCGCUGCGUGAGCGCACGAACGAAUCCGUAUCAGCCCAAAGCAAACUGCAAAAACUCAACACAAGCCGGAAGCACCCGAGAGAGAGACCUUGGAACCGGGUGCGGACGACGUCGAGGGGGUGCGCGGCGACAAAGGUGGCGAACCCGGCGACGGCUCCGGCGGUGGCGUUCUCCCACUGACGGAUCUGGCGAUGGCGCGACGAAGGAAAAGCAAGUCUGCGGGUGUGAGUCGUGACCGUGAGAGGUAAAGAAGAUAGAAACAAAUUAGGGUUUUUGAUUUGGGGUUGCCUUAAAAACCGGUUCUCAAACCGGUUCCCAAACCGGUCCGGUCGAUCCGGUUCCCAGGUGGAUAAUCCCUCGGAACCGGUUCCCGGACCGGUUCAAACAGGGUCUGAAUUUUGGGAACCGGUUCCCGACCCUAUUUUCCGGGUGGGCCGGAUCGGGAAACGGGUAAACCCAGUCCGAAUGCACACCCCUACAUGGAAGUAACCUUUUCAGCGUUUUGAUCUAUAUAAUCAUGUUAUUUUUACAUGAUAUACAACUCAUGGCGACAUUUGUGUUAGGAAUUUUUCUCGCUCAAAAAUUGCUCUCCUCGAAUUGUUGACUUGAGAAAAUGGAAAUUUUCAUGCUUUAAUCAAUCAAUUAUUCUAACUAAACGUCAUAGUUCUUGAGCUUCAACUUGAUAGACAAUUGUACACUAAGAGAGGAACAAGAACUUGAUGAUUGAAUUCGAAAAGUUGAUGAAAUGAUUUCACUAAUGACAACACAAAUCAUUCUUAAGGGAAGAGUAAGUGUUUGGUUGGCAAAGGUAAAUAAAUAACUGAAAUGAGUGGAAAUAAAUUGCAGGAGUGAUUAGAAAUAGAUUGUAAGGAAAUAAAGGGCACUGAAAGAAGUACAUCUUGCUAUUCAGGAAUUUAUGCCGGUCUAUUCCUCUCUAGUUCUCCAUUUUAUAAUUGUUUCCGUCCAUAAUUGCCCCCAAAAACAUCAUCGAUCCUUCGAGCAACCGUCUUCAACCUUAUCAAUUGUGAAUGUCGCGCCAUCAAUGAUCACUUGACUAACUUCCUGUCAUUGCGAGGGCACGCGACUGAUCCGUUUUGAACAUUUGGACUAAAUGCUGAUCCACCUUGAGCUGACUCUAUAACGAGCCUUAUCUCUGAUCUCGGUCAAUAGCCGGAGUAAAAUUUUCAGUGCCGAAAGAAACAUAUUUAAACAUUAUAACUUUUUCUUUAACAUACAAGUUAGGGAUUCAAGCAUGUCUUAAGCACAUGAUAUUGUUUAUUAUCUUCACUAUAAUUAAAUAAAUAAUGUUUUAUUUUUACUACAUGACCCAAAAACUACUUUAUUUUUCCCGGUGCGUAUGAGCUACGCUGUUUUUCCCUUUAGAUAGUACUUGAUCGAUCUAAACUAAUUGAUAAUACAUGCAUCUAAUAGAUGUAGGUUUUAUUUAUAAAAUCAAUCAGUGGAGGAGGCCUUAUCCUUAAGAAAAACAAUUCAUUUUUCAUAGAACACCCUAGUUUUUGGAAAGAUUGAGGAUUGUAAGGUCCCGAAGAAAAAGAAUUCAGAUUUACAAAUUCUGAUUUAUUCCAUCGAUGGCCACUACGAAUAGACACAUCACCAUUGCCAACAAGGAGUUUACGUCGCCCACACUUUUUGGUGAUGCUAGAAACUAUGCCUUGGAUUCAAAAGACCUUCAAUGAUCCUUCCUAGUUUUUUAGCUAAAGAAUCCAGUUUUGCAACGACAAUUUUCGGUACCGUCAAUGAUCAUUUUCAUACGCGUACACCAUCAUUAGUGAUAACUCAUGAGUGAAGGUACCAAUGAAAUGAUGCAUGAUGACAAGAACAAUGAUACUUCUAUUUUCAUUAGUCCUAAAGACCUUCAAAAACAUUUACUUGACUCAAGUCCUAAGCCACCAUGAAAUGCCAUUCCCUUAAGUGUUUGUUCACCUAUUUGUCACACGUAGUUUCUUAUAUUUGCUAAUAGAGGAAUCAUUGACAUCUACAAAGCUAAUUUACCAUCUGCACCUUAUCAAAGUAUAUAUUAGUGCCAAAGAUAGUUUUGGUAUCAUCAAAAUUACAUAUGGAUGUUUUCCCGAGAUAACUCACUUGGAAUAUGGGCCAAAUUCUUUGUGGUCAACAAACUCAAGAAGAUCUCUCCCGUUUGAUAUAGGACUUGAGAUAUCACAAAUUCUCUCGUGAAAAGAACUGGCUUCAUCAUCUUGCCAAUCUAUAUCAUCUAGCAAAACUCCUCUUAUAUGAGGUGUGGCCUCGUCCAUUCCUAAACCCUCUCCUAUCCCGGAAGCAUGCUUGUAGUGACAACUUGUCUAAUCCUUGUCAAUUGGGUUUACACCUUGUCUAUCUAACAACCACACAUCUAUUGGAGUAGGUCCAAAUCUGAUACCAUCUUUCACGACCUGGUUUGUUACACGUUGGCUAAGACCCCAAACAAGUUUUCUUUGUAAAUACACAAGGUGAUGGCCAUUCACAGGCACGUGUUGAUUUAUGAAUCACUCAACAUAGUCUUUCACAACUAAUGUGAGACUUGCAAUGUCACAAAGUCACAUACCAUAUUACAAUCUACACAAUAUUUCUAGUUAUUACUCAUUAACUUUCUAUUGACACUUUUCCACUUGAUAGAUAUCUAUCGGCGAUCUGUUAAUUUGAACUACCUUGCCGAAAUCAUUUUGGUCUUGUUUGGUUCCACGACAAAAAAUCCUCAUGUAAAUUUCCCAUUCCAAGUUAUAUGAUUCAGUGGAAUAAGAUUUCUAUUCAAUUGUUUGGAUUGCCAAAAAAAUGUGGUCUUCUAUGAAAGAGUACUUCUAAUUGGCAGUUUGGAUUUGUGGUCGGCAACUGUCAGCAGGAAUUGACGACCAAUAACAGUAGGGACUAAGUGACCGGCGGGGGCAACCCCGUACCAAUGGUGCUAGGGGAUGCUAGUGAUGGCUUUGGGCUUUUGAUAUUUGUGUGGUGGUGUAAUGUAGAAUUGAAAUAGUAAAACUAGCUCUUGUUAAGGGAAAAGUACACCAAAGGUUCAAAAUCUUUUAGUGCCACAAUUUUUCGAAUACUCAUUUGAGCUCCUUAACUUUUGAAAUUCAUUUAAUUCAGUUAUAUAUUUAAGAAUUUGCUUUACAGAAUAGCUGAAGUGGCAUUAUUUAAAAACACAACAAUGAUUUUAUCAUUAAAAUAAUGCCAUGUCCCCAAUUUAAACGGUCCAAGUAGUUAGAGUCACUCCAAUGAACGAAAUUUGAAAGUUAGGAGCUUAAAUAAGCAACUGAAAAAUUGUGGUACUAACCUAACUGCUGCAUAACAGAUUUGGAAUCCUAGUGUGCUUUUUCUUAUUAUUAGGCGAUCUAAUUGCACACUUUAUGAGAAAAUUUAUAUGUCAUGUGGAAUCUAAUUGACAUUCUUAUUUUCCUUGACUGCGUUGAACCAAAUGCAAGAAUUUGAUUUCUCUCAAAACGCUAGAUAAGAAGUUUAAGAUUGUAAUGAAUUUGUUGGUGUCGGUAAUUGGAUCAAAAGCAGAAUGUUGAUACAAAGGCGGCGGGAAUUGAGCCUUGCACUUAUGCUGAUAUUUGGGCCCGGACAUUUUCUCAACUUUUGGCGUCCAACUUACAAUUUCCCAUUUCCUCUAUUUUGUCCUUCCCUUUUUCUCCCCAUCUUCUUCGUUCUUAUAUGAUGUGCACAGUGAUGCCUAACGCCUCAAAUCUGAUCACAACCCAAAGAUGGUGGCCAUGGAAUUGCUUCGUUGGUUGUUUCUAGCGAUGUUUGAGGCAGUCAAAGGAUUAGUUCCAGGUCGAGGUGAAGGUUCAUUACCCGUGGCAUUGUAGUUGGUGGUGCCUAUAGAUUCUUGAUGGCGGUUCCAAGCGAUGGUCGAUGGUGGCGGGGUCUUGGAUGGUUGACGGUAGAAGAUGAUGAUGGCAAUGAGGGGCUGCGAAAAAAAGGAAAAUUCUAUGGUGGCUGAAAUUUUUUUAUUUUGUUUUUGAUUGAAGGUGACUGGAUGACGAAGGAGAUGGUGAUGACGAGGUGGCGGCGGUUCUACGACAUAUGGUGGCUAGCAUUAGCGGUGGCACGGUGGUGGCAACGCGUGGAUGAUGUUUACAAAGAAGAUACGUUGUAGUAAAGAAUGGUGCGCCAUGGGAAUUUUGCGGACACAUGGAAAUUUUCCGUUUUAAAAAAAAAUAUAUAGUCAUUCUCCUUACUUUUCAAUUUAAAGAAGAUAUUUUCUUGAUAAACGAAUUUUUUAGCAUCAUCACAAACCCUCUUGACACAUGGAAAUUUUGCGAAUAGUUGGCUAAGUAGCACCGACACUGAUAUGCGACAUACUACACAACACAACACGACACGACACGACACGCUGACACGUUGUUUAUAAAAAAAACAGAGAAUUCCGACACGUUGAGACACGUUGUAUAUUAAAAAUAUAUAUUUAUAUAUAUACAUAAUAAAUUAUCAUUUUUAUGAUUAUUUCAAUCAAAUUAAUUUGAAUCAAAUUCAUAAAUAAAUAAUUAAAAAAAAAUUAGAAUGAAUAUACACUAAAAGCAUUAAUCCGCCAUUUAUUAAUAUCAUUUAUUGUCUCAAUUUGACAAAUUCAACUCUAUUUCAAUAAUUCAUAAAGCUUGGAGAAAAAACAAGCGAUCCAUAUUCUGGACUCGCAUGUUAGAUAUGUUGGAAGAGGAGAAAAAAACUUAAGGGAUGAAUUGUGUAUCACGGGAAGUUGGAGUCAGAAAAACGAAUAAGAGAGACUAGGUUUUUUUUCUCCAUUUAUUAUUUUUAUUAUUGUGUUUUAUUUUUUCACAUAUAUAUUUUGACAUUUCAUUUAUUGAAUUUUUAAAAUUGAUAUCGAUAUCGAAAUCACGUGUCGAAAACUUGUAUAUCAGAAUUCCGACUUGAGUGUCGAGAAAGUUGACUGGGUGUCAGAUUUUCCGACACGUGUUGACUGAGUGUCGAAAAGUGUCGAACACGUCUCGAAGUGUCCGACACGACACGAAAGCUCUUGAAAAUUGUCAGUGCUUCAAAGGUGAUUGGUUUGGUAGAAACUCUUGCCACCAACAAACAAAAACACACUGCUCUUUUUUAUUAAAAAUUAAAGCAUGGAAGCAAUUUAUUUUUAAACCAAGUUUUUUUUUUCUUUUUAACUUCUAUAGAUUUUAGAUUGUUUUACCUAUGCAAAAUUUGAUGUUAAAACUUACUUAUUUUGUAUGCAUAUGUUAGUGGACGCUAUUUAAAAGAUUUUUGGACAUGGCGGUUCACAUUUCCAAACCAGAUUGCACGAUUAAUUUUGCAGGACAAUACUAUCUUUUAAUAGCGAACUGCUCACUGUUACUUAAAAAGACUGAUACAACUUGAUAAAAGUUCAUCAUCAUCUUCCUACUAUUAUUCUAACUUCUUAUUGUUAAAAAUAUUACUACAUUAAUGAUUGAUUAAUCGUAUGUUUUGAUGAGAAUACCGUGCUUUACAAAUGAACAACUCUAUUUUUAAUGACGAGCCAAAGCAAAACUGGGGGCUUUUAGCUAGUUUUCAUGGUUAAGGAGUUUUGGAGAAAAAUCACACACAUCUAUUAAGUCAAAUAAGGAACGCAAUAAAGUCUUAAAUCUUUCAAUUGAUGCAAUUAAUCGAAUGUUUUUAGUCCAAAAUCUAUUAAGUUUUCAGUUCUAUAUUUUUGAUAAUGUAAUUUGAUCUUCCAAUCUCCAUGAACGAAUCAAAAUAUCCCAAGAAGUAGCAAAGAAUCACAUUCAUCCAAAUUUUUAUUGAAAAGAAGAUCCAAAAGGGCUUUAGAGUCCAAGUAAAUCAAUAAUAAUCUCCGAUAAAACCUAGCUUUUGUGCCUAUCUGAGGCCGGGCCACAAUGCCCAUAAAUCCGCUUGAACACAAUUAUAAUUUAUAUAUACCGACGAACGCAGCAGAUUUCUCACCCAUGUUCAAAGGUGAUAAAAAUCAUUUACCUCCCCCAUCUAGAUCAUUCUUAUCAGGUCAAGCUUCUUUUUUCUUUUUCUUUUUUUGGGUCAAAAUAUCAAGUUAAGCUUAAAGUAUCUUAUUUAGUUGAACUAUUAUCAACAAGUACCAUCCAUGAUCUUACAAAUUAUUUUUCAACACCAGUAUGAAAGUUAGCGUGUUAUUUGGCACCUUGUGACAAACGAAAAUAAUAAUAUCAAAAACUAAAACAAACAAUUUGAAUGAUGUGACCUAUCCUAUUUUGAGCAUGUCACAGAUGGUUCUUUUUGUGGAAUUAAUUUGACAUAACAAAAAAGAGUAUCAAUCGAUCUACAUAUAAUAAAUGGCUUCUCUGUAAUGAUUGUUGCUCGGAAAGGGACUUCCUACAUGGUAUUUAAAAGAGAGGGAUAAUAAGAACAAUCAAGAAAAUCAAAGUCUAGAAUAGAAUUUAAAAAAAUAAAUAAUUUCUCUUCUAAUCUUGUAUGGUUUCCACAUAGCACUUUAUCUUACAUCAGAUUCCAUCGCCAUAUCCACCAAGGUGUAAUUUUUUUUUCACACAAGCAGAUUUGACCCAAACUUCUGCUUUUGCUCUUUGAAAGCCUCUCUCUCUCUUCGCUGGCUGUGCAGUGCCGGUACCCUUCCUAAUGUGAGCGACAGCAAGAUGAGAGGAGAGAGCAUAAAUAAAAGAGGAAGGGAGAGGGGCCAAAAGAGCCCAAGGAAGAAGGGUUCCUCCUUCACUAUCAAGCCACCUCCAAUUAUUAAAAGGUCUCUCCCCCGAAAUCCCCAUCUAGAAUCCCCGUCUAAGGAUUUCGUCUCUCCCCCAAAAUCCCCAUCGUGAAAGAUUCGUCUGUAUCAAUACUUGUUCGGAGAAAUGGCCAGCUAGGCCAUUUUCAUCGGUGACUACAUCCUCUCCCUCUCUCUCUCUCUCUCUCUUAUCCAACCAGAGGCGGGGAAAAUGGAUCCCACCUCAGUGGUGGUUGCUCUGGGGCAGCCGAUUCUUGCUGCAUGGGAAAAAUGGCAAGAAGAAUUGUACCACGCUGCAUCUGCUAAAAAUGAAUUCGACAACCUCAAGGAAUUGAUCCAGCAUAUCGGGGAUUUCCUCGCAAAAGCCUACUCAAAGGAGGUCAUCGAUGAGGAGAUCAAAAGGGGCAACGGGAGGAUGUGGAAAUUUCUCUAUCUCUCAAGACGCUAUCGAGGACAUGAAGCGACGUAAAUCCAAGAAGAAAUGGAGAACUCUUGAUUCCUACCUUUGCCACAGAUACGGAGACCGAACUUUUGCAGAGGAAUCAAGAUUUAUCAAAGAUACGCUGCGGCAAUACGAAGAAAAUCUUGGGAGAAAUGGUCCCAGAUGCUCAUUUUAGAUUAUCCGGCAACUAAUGGGUAUCAAAGAGCUGAUGGACCAGCUGGUCCAAUGGCUAACAAAGAACCCUCCGCAGUUGAAAGUGAUUUUCGUGCACAGGGCGCAAGGAGCAGGCAAGACUAGUCUAUUGGGCGCCAUGCUUUGUGACCAAAGGAUAAGUCGUCUCUUCGAAUACUGUGUAUGGAUCGAGGAUUUAAGAUCCUGUGAGUUUGCCGAAAAAAUAGGGGAAGCGCUCAUGAAAGCAAAUGCAACGACGUGGAAUUUGACCAUGGAGGGGGUGAACGAACAACGAACGUCGGUUAAACUUGAAGACGCUUUCGAACGCAGGCCAUCCGAAAACUUCAGCUGGGCUCUCGUCUUGGAUGAUGCAGGCAAAGAGGAUGUGUUCAGUUUCCUCCAAAUUAAAUUAAUUGAAACUCAUCCGAACGUGCUCAGAGCCUAAAAUCUCGCUCCAAGCUUUAUCUACAUAGUCCAAACCAUUCUAUCCACAACUUCGAGCAUGUUUUCCUUUCUGAGAAUGAUUCUUGUUCUCUAUUUCACCAAAAUAUUUCCCCCUCAGAUAUCUCUCAACCUGAUUUUGAGCGUAUGUUAAAAAGAUGUUAAGGAUUGCCACUCACGAUUUUGGCGACGUGUAGGCAUUUGGAAGAUAAUAAAGAUGAUGAUGUUGCAGGUGGCUCUGAUGCUGUUUGAUGGAAAAAAUUGAUUGACAGGCUUGAGGAAGAACUACUAUCCAGUGGGCACAAAGUUGGCCCAAAUGGAAAAACAAUUACUCUGCGCAUAGACCACCUUAUGUCCGUGCUUAUAUUUUUUACUUGAGCAUCUUCCCGUUAGAUCGUCCCAUAAGGUGCUCCACAAUGAUGCGAUUAUGGAUGGUAGAAGAGUUCACUAAGUAUGAUCCAGUCUGGGAAAAUCCAGGACAACUCUGCAAAAACUAUUAAAACAUCAUGUAAUUUGGGGAAAGAAAACAAGUUAUGGGAGGGUCAAAACCUAUCGCGUUCACAACCUUCAGCAUCAACUCAUUAUUCCCCAUUCAAAAUAUGUAGAGAUCUGAUUUUUACCCUUGGAAGAAGGAUUGUCUGAGAAUGUACGGUACCUUUCCUUUCACAAACCUAUACGUGAAAUAGAUAAGAACACAUCGGUCAAACGACUUCGCUCUCUACAUUUCUUCGAAGAGAUGUAGCCAAAAUCCUUGAAAGAAUUGUUGGAGAAGGUUGAGAGGCUUAAGAUGCUACAUAUUCAAAUAUAUUUGACCAAGAAAGAAGAAAAUCAAGUUUCUUUGAAUUCUUUUCCUAAAAAAUUCUCCAAUCGAGAAAUCUUAGGUACCUAAGUUUAAGGGUACUAACAUAAGGAAAAUUUCGUCGGGCAUAAAAGAUCUUGCACAACUGGAGACCCUGGAUCUGAAAGAUACCCUCGUACAUGAGCUACCAAAAGACGCCAUAUGUUAGUAUACAGGUCCCAUCAACAUUAAGACACUUGAGAUCAUUGCAAAAACUAUUCAUGAUAGAGCUAAAAUUAGUGAGGGGAAAGAAAAUAGUUGUGCAAGAUCUUUUAUGCCCGACGGGUAUGUUUGAGAUCUAAGGUCUUGAGAUCUAGGGUCUCCAGUUGUGCAAGAUCUUUUAUGCUUGACGGAAUCUUUCCUUAUCGUUGGUACCCUUAAACUUAGGUACCUAAGAUUCUUGUGUGAAGUNNNNNNNNNNNNNNNNNNNNNNNNNNNNNNNNNNNNNNNNNNNNNNNNNNNNNNNNNNNNNNNNNNNNNNNNNNNNNNNNNNNNNNNNNNNNNNNNNNNNUAAUUCAUAUUUCAAUUUCAUAAUUUUUGAAAAGUCAUUUGGGUAUUUAAAUAAAAUUUUCUAAAACAGUGCAAGGUCGGUUUUGCAAUUACAAAACCUGCAAUGCACGCACUAUUCUGUUUUGUAUGAGCCCCAUAUAUAGCAUUGAGUAAGUGCUGGAAUCAUCUUGCAUAUGUGAUGAUUUUUGGCAUUACAUAUAAAAUCAUGUUGCAGAAUUUGGCGGACUUCCCAGCACGUCAUGGCCCACACUGAUCCCGACACAUAACCCGUGUCUAUGGACCAUACCUUCUGAGGCUACAUUCGGAGGAGAGAUUUUGUGAGGCUCCCCAUCCCCGGGGAUGCCCGGGCGGGGGAGUGUGGAAGCCCGGGAUGUGGCCGGAGCGGCGUCCUAGUAAGGUUAGAGGAGCCCGUGAGGCGACGGAGCAAGAAGCAUGGGCGUUGUGCGCCGUGGGAAUACGGAGUAAGGAGGAAGGAGGAGGAAGAAGGAGGAGCGGCGGCGGAGGAAGGAGGAAGGAGGAGCGGCGGUGAAGGAAGGAGGAAGGAGGAGGAAGAAGGGGGAAGAAGAAUGAAAAGAAAAGGAAAAAAUUUAAAAAAAUUUAAAAAGAAAAAGAAAAAAAUUAGUUAACGAAUGGUGGAAAAUAUUUUCCACUCAAAAUUUAAGAAUUAGCCAAACACCGGAAAAUAUAGCAAUUUUCCUGGAAAAUAACUUCCGGGAAAAUAUUUUCCGGAGAUGGUCAAUUUUCCGUGAAACGAACGGAGCUUUAGUGUUGGAAGAAAAAAAAACCUUUUUUGCUUUUUUUAAAUAUUAAUAUUAUUUUUUUAAUUAUUUUUUUGUCUUUUCCCUAUUUUGUCUUGUCUACUGCACUUCCCCCUCGACAACUCCUCUGCACACCCGAAGCCAACAUUUGCUUUCUUUUUCUCUUCUCUUUUUUUUUUUUCUUUUAUUUUACUUUUUGCUGCACUUUUUUUUUUCUCUUGCCUUUUCUUUUGUUUUUUUUUUUUAUUUGUCCCUUCCCUGUGCCCAUCUCUUCCUCGACGACUCCUUCCGAAGUGGUCUCCCUUGCCGAACCAUAACCAAAAUAAAACCACGUUCGACGAGCCCUCACCAACGUUUGGGACCACCGCCAGACCACCAUCCGGCGUCGGUCGUUCAGUCCGACCGACACCGGCCACAGCCGUUGACUGAGACAUGGCUCGGCCCCCACCGAGGUUAGCCGAGGAGACAAAACUCGGCCGAACGACCGGGCACCAUUCGAGAUAGCCCUAAUACUGACAUCCUUUAACACCUGCCGGUGCCAUCACCGGUAACCUUCCCUUUCCUCGCACCUUCAACGACCAACCCACAAAAAAACAAAGAAAAUAUAUGCAGACCUGGUCUAGACAGAACGUCGAACACCUGGGGUGCGCCGACUGAAAAGCAAACAAAAACUCAACUGGGAGAUAAAUCAACAGUCAAGGCAAAAGCAACAACCAAGCAAAGUCUAAAACAACAAAAUCGCAGCUCACCGGUAUCGGAGACUUGCGCGGGCCGGAGAAACGCGAGCUCCGGUCCGGUGAGCUAAAAAAAUCAGAGUGAAAGGAGGGCGUUUGCGCGGUCAGGUGACGGGUCCUACUCGGCUCGAUGACGGCGGCCUGCAGGCAGGUUUGAGAUGGCACGAACUGUGGCCGACCACCCUGGUGUCGUCAAGACGAGAUCAUCGGGUUAAAGGGUAUUGAACUCGAAAGGAGACUUAUUGGAAGAAUGGAUGCCGAGAGGCGAGGUCACGGGCGCGGCCGAGCUUCUUUCCCGCUCUCUUCUCUCAAUUUCUCGCUUUGCUCUCACUCACGACGCUCUGUCUCUCAAGCUUCAAGCUUUCUCCUGGUUCGCUCUCUCUCUCUCUCUCUCUCUCUCUCUAUCUCCCCCCCGGUUAGCUCCCUAUCUGCCCAAAACCAACAGCCCCCCUCUCUCUCUAUCUGCCCUCCGGUUAGCUUCCUAUCUGCCCAAAACCAACAGCCCCCUCUUGCUUUUAAGCUUGGCCAGCAAGGCAUGGCUCUUGCCACCGCCAGCUGCCUUGCCGGCCUAACUCCGACCCUGGGAUCAUGGUGCGCGAUCCGCUGCCUCCUUUGCUCCCUCGUGAUCCCCCUCUCCUCUGGCUCGUACUUUGCUUUUUCUUCUUUCUACAGAGAGCGUGAGGGAGAGAGAGAGAGGAAGAAGAAAAGAAGAUUGGGCCGGUGAAGGAAAGGAAAGAAAAAAAAAAAAGUUGGGCAGGCCUAAGCCAAUGGAAUUGGAUAAAGAGAAAAAGAAAGGAGGCCGGACGGAGUUUUUUUUUUUUUCCUCAAUUUUCGAUUUUUUUAAAAUUAAUUAUUUAAAAAAAAAUAGAUUUAAUAAUUUGUGAUAGUUAUGCAAAUGCUCCGAAUGUCUACGCAUAAUGGAUUUUAAUAAAAACAAACACGAUGCAUUUUAAUGAAGGUUAUUUAGUUUACUCUUUACUUCUUUUUUUUAGUAACUAAUCUUAAUUUUGUAUGCGAUUGAGUUACAAAUAAAAUGGUAAAAUUUAGGUGUCAACAACGUUGAUGCGUGUCAAGUCUUGUCUAUAUCAAUUUUUUCAUCUGUGUUGAGUCGGCUAUAAAUCUUCUUGCAAGUGUCGAACAGAUGCAUUCUUAUCUUAUCAGCAAUUGUUUCCCCUAAUUGUGUGAAAAACACCUUAUUCUUCACGAACUCAAUGAUUUGUUUGUUUUUAGCACUAGUUACUUGGUGUCCGCGAUGGCAGUGAUGGCACUUGAUACAUAACUUUAAAAAAAAAAAAAAAUGUACUCGUUUACAAGUGCCUCAAAGGGCAUUAACUAAAACUAUUGAAAUUAAAAAUAACGCAUAUAAACACAUGAGAAGGAAACAUAUUUCACAAAACACAAUUAAUGAGUUUUGACAAGUGUGUUGGGGUUUUCUUUGACAAUUUCGAAAAGCAAAAUCUCCUAAAAAAUUUUAGUUAGAUCAACAUUCAAGACACUUUAAUAAUUUGAACAAGAACAUUUCUCUCAGGUAAUUGUUAAAUGGACUUUGAUAAACAAAACUAGGUUUUGGAAUUGGAGACCAAGGCUUAUCAGUGGUGUCCGUUCUUGAUUAAUGUGUGACCAAAUCCGAUCUUUUCAAAAGGAUUUCCCCAUGUCUUGCAAUGUUUUUAAAUUGUCAACAAGUAUUUUGUUAUGUAAUGCUUAAACCAUAUUUCAUUGAAUCAAUGGUUAAGGAACUCUGGUGAUUAAAAUUAUAGGACACACUUGGUGCAAAUUGGAAUUGGUGACAUUGUCGAUUGUUUAACGGACAUCACGUUGAAACCAAAUUUCGAUGAAUGUCUUCUUUGAUGCACAUAAUUAGAUUAACGGGUGUUAUUUUAUGAGCUUGAAAUCUGUACUCUAAAGAUGAAAGUCCAUCUCGUUCAGCCCACACCAAGCCCGACCUUCGAUGCCAAACGUCCGAAUUUCAAGGACCAAACAUAGUCUCGACAACUACAAUACGGUAAAUCCUAGCCAGGAAGGAGGCCACCAAGCCGAAGCAGCGCAUUAACUGACGAUGGCGGAGCAACCGCCGUGGGAAGACCUGCCCGCAUUGUGCUGGGAGGCCGUCCUCCGCCGCUUGGUCUCCGCCGAUGACCUCGAGUCCGUCUCCUCCGUCUGCAAGCGAUUGCUACACAUCUCCAACACCGUCCGCACCAGCCUCUCCAUCACCAACCGACUGACCCCGCGCUGCCUCGGCUCCCUCCUCCGGUGCUUCACGUCCCUCAAGUCCAUCGACCUCAGCUCGUUCCGCGGCGACCCGUCCUCCGUCCUCCUCCACAUCGCCCAGUUCCCGUUGCCCUCGACCGCCUCGACCUCUCCUACCAGGAAUCCCUUCGCUUCGGUGGGUUGCGCGAGAUGGGGUCCAAGUUCGGGGCUUUGAGGGUCUUGGUGCUGUCCCGUAUUAGGUUGCUGGGGGAUGCCAACUUGGUUUCGAUCGCGGAGUGCUUUCCCGCGCUCGAAGAGCUCGACAUUAGCUAUCCGCUGCAGAGUGAUUCGGCUCGGGUCACGGACGACGGUAUCUCGGACCUGUCGCGGAAGCUGCAGAGGCUGUCGCGAAUGAACCUUUCGGGUAAUCGGUCUCUCUCUGAUCAGUCUCUCGUGGUUCUGUCGGUGAAUUGCCCGUCUCUGAAGGAAAUUAAGCUUGGGGGAUGUGGCUCAAUUAUUGGGAGAGGUAUUGCUCCGUUGAUAGUGAACAGGCCUCACUUGGUCUCCUUGGCCCUGAAUUAUACGACACUGGAGGCGAUUUUCCGUGAGGAGUUGGUGGACUCCUUUGGUCACUCCAGGGGUUUUAUUAGUCUGGAUUUCUCGGGCUCGUUUAUCUGGGAUGGGCUGCUGAUGGCUGUUGCGGAGGCAAACAUUCCGCUCAAGAGACUCAUACUUUCGCGCGCCCUAGGGUUUUCCUUCGACGAGAUUCAGAUGAUCAUGCUAUGUCACCAGGAUAUUGAGGUCUUAGAUUUGGAGGCAGUACGUUUCCUCACAGAUGAUGAUAUGAGCGUGAUAUGUGAAGAUCUUCGCAGUCUGACCCACAUUAACAUCUGUCGCUGCUCCAAUCUCACGAUGGCAACAUUGUAUAGCCUCAUGACACAAUGUCCCUUCCUGAAGGCAAUCAAAAUGGGGAAGACAAACCUAAGGGAGGAUGAUGCUAAUGAAACUGAUAUCGUGGUGAAUUCUCAAGUGAGGUAUCUUCACAUACCUUAUAAUGGUAAACUGACUGACGAAUGCCUCAAGAAGAUCAGGCGUAUGUGCCCCAACUUGCAGUAUCUUGAUGUAAGCAAUUGUUCGAAGAUAACUGGGGAUGGCAUUUCGGGUGUGCUGAAGAGCUGCGCUGAAAUCUGUUAUUUGAAGAUCUGUGGUUUGAAAAACAUAAGGAAUCUAUGCAUUGACUUUGAAUCCCACGCUUAGAGGUCUUGCAAGCAGAAGGCUUGAAACUCAACGAAGAGCAACUAGCGGCAUUUAUAAGUAAAUGUUGCCAUCUCAAGAAUCUCAACUUAAUGGACUGUGUGCGUCCGUUGAACGAAGGGCCAGAAAAAGGUGAUGAAGAAUUGCUAUACAUUGAGGGGGAUAAAUGUCCGGAACUACAAUAAUGGACGUGGCGAUUUCCCACUUUUAGAUUGGAAGCUGUCUAUGUGGUCAUCUUUAAGGAGAAUAGUCCCACCUAGCAGAUUAGUUUCAUCCGAAACCCAAGACUUCUUCUUGAAGCAUUGGUUGUCUCGUCAGGGAUGAUUGACUUCAAAGGGACAAUCGACGAGGUAAUUGUCUACAAAGAUGACAAUGCCCCUGUAUCUUUCUGUGGUAGAAUGGUGUGUUGUCAUAGCUUCUUUCAAUGCGGACCUCAUUUUUAUAGGACUUGCCAUUAUUCUGUAGAUUGUUGUGGUUACUUGAUACUUUAUCAACAGUUCAAUAAUCUCUUAUUCAUUGUACUGUCCAAUGCUCUUGUCUUUUCGAGUUUGUAUUCUACCCUUUUAUUGUUUUUAACUACCUUUGGGCCUUUUGUGAUUUUGACUGUAGCUUCGUUUUCCACCUGUUUCAUUGUUUGAAAAAUAAAAAAGAAGUUUUCUUUGGCAUGACUUUUGCUACUUCUUGAGCUUUGUUCUUGCUUCCUUGGUAUCUCUAGCUUCCUAGACCUGUCAUUUUCAUUGGGUCAAUAACAGAUUGUGUUCGGAACAAUAAAUGUGCCUGAAUGUUUAAAGCUAAAAGUGUAGUUUUGUUUGCCUGAAUCAUUCCCAAACUCAUAUCAACCCUUUUUUUUACAAACAAAGAUGAUGUUUGAGUUACAUCUCACUUUUUGCCCAGUGCUCGUGGAAGCAUCUGAAUCUAUUAUAAUCGAUAUGGAAGUUGAGGAUUAUGAAUUUUGUUUUAGUGUAGAAUGGCACCAGCAAAGGCACCACUAGAUGGGCAUUUCUACAAGGCAUGAAGUUUGGACAUCCACAGAUCCGGCUCAAUAUGUGUUCAGAUAGUUGAUCUUAUGGAAGCAUAUACUCAUUCAAAGUCAAAACAAAUGAAUCGGCAGCUCUAUGGAAGAAAUUCAUUGUUUGCUUGAUUUGGUAGGCACAAUCUUUAGUAAGUUCGGAAUGCUUUGCUGUGUCUUAUAUAUAACAUGGUUUUGGAAUUAUUUUGAAUGUAAGGUCGAUGCUUGAGAUGCGAGCACCUUUUGUGUAUCAUUGUGCAGAUAGCAAAUUUGAAUGUGAUAGUGUUGUGAUAUUGCUUUGGUUGAAUAGUAAAAGUGAUGAAUCUUGUAGGUACUAAGUGGGCUUGGGCAUGGCUGGUUAGGGCAUUUCUUCGUGCCCAACGUCACACUUCAAGCAUAGAAAUUUCAUGCGAUCCUGCCUUGAGCUUGGCGUAGAAACGUCAUGGUCAUCAUGUCAUUCAUUUAGGGAAGGAUUUAAAUCCCCACGUCUGUCCUGGAUCUUAGUGCGAGUGCCAGUCCAUGCACGUAUCCAAAUGUUAUUACUCAAUGCGGGUGGAUUCAUGGAUUGCGAGCUUUUAUUGAGCCAAUUUACAUAGGCCUCCAUUAACAAAUGGACCAGUCUAAAUUGAGUUUGCAUUUAAAGAAAUUGAGAUGGACAUAACGGCUGACGAAUCUAAUAGUGACGCUCCAAAGACAGCUGGUUGUUGUGAACUUGUGAUAUUGACUUCAAGAAUUUGUGUGAUAUGCGGUUGCACCUGGUUGCACUUUGUGGCGGCAUGGUUGCAUAUAUCCUGAUUCAAACCCAGAAGACAGAUGGGGAGUUCACCUCAGCUGCAGCAUGGAAUUUGGUGUUUCUGCAGAGGACGAUAAAGCAGUCAGCAUUGUCUCGUUUGGUUGAAACCAAAUGCGCCUAAGAUUGCUUUCAUUGACUGGCCAGUCCAUCUAAGUAGGUUGCAAACCUUUGAUAGGUAAACAGAGCCGCCUCGAUGGAAUUUGUCUUAUGCAAGCUGGAAGAUGAACCAGAAGUCCAUUUGUUCUUCCAUCGCUCCUUUGAAAGCAAAUCUUGUCCAUUUGUUCUUCCAUCAAUCCUUUGAAAGCAAAUCUGAGAGCAUUUUCUGCAGUUCUUUCAGCUUCGUCAGGCCUGCUAGUGGCUGGUCUGCCUAACAUGCUUGUUGCCAUUUUCCUGUUCUCUGUUGGAAUUGCGUUCGAAUCUCUAUUGCAGGAUUUCAAGAGAACACUUUCUGAGCAAGUUAAAAGCUUUUGCUGACCUUGGAAGAUCCGAUCUGGAUUGAUCGAGUUUUGAUUUUUGGUUGCAGUUGUCUAAGUAGCUCUUUGAUGCUUUAUCCGUAUUGAUGACAGAUACUAGUGGGCUGCUCCUCCCACAUUACUUGGUUAUGCAAUACUAGAUAUUUACCCUUCGAACAGAAAGCAAAUUGACAAUAGAAGCAUCACUAGGUUUGGAAAUUUAGUAUAGUUAUAUCAUGUUAACUCAGCCUGCCAAGUAGGGGUGAGCACGGUUCCCGGGUAGAACCGGGAACUGGAGAACCGAACCGGACCCGGUUCUUAAGAGACCGGUUCCAGUUCCCGGUUCCAUUUUCCUUAGGAACCAGCGUUCCCGGUUCCGGUUCCAGUUCCCGUAAGAAUCGGAACCGGAACCGGAACCUGUCAAAAUUUAAAAAAAAAAAAACCCUAGUCGCUUCCCCCCACGUGAUUUCCUCUACGUUUCUUCCCACAUUUCCCUUCCUUUUUCUCUCUCUUUCUUUUCUCCCCUUUUUCCUCCUCACACGUCACUUCCUGCCCCCCCCAACCUUUUUCUUUUCUUCUCUCUCUUCUUUCCCCUUCUCUCGGCCGAAACCCCACCCCUUCUUCUCCUCUUCUUCUUCUUCUUCUUCUUCGCAACCCCUCGCCGCUUCACCCACCACCACACCACCGCCCCUCGCCGCUUCACCCACCACCACACCGCCGCCCCAUGCCCUACUCACCACCAUCUCUUGGCCACUGAACCAGCACCACCCACCGCUCGUCCGACGAGCCGUCUCACCGUUGAGCCCGAGGAGCUAUCGCGCCGCCCCUCGCCGCCGUGAGCGAGGGCAAGGCUCUCGAGCCCCUCGCCUCUGGUGGCGGCGGAGGACGGAGCGCUCAGGGUUAAGGCGGCGGGGGGGCUCGGGUUCAGGAGCCACGCCUUUGGCUAUCCGGAGGAGAGCGGGGGCGACGAGGGGAGCGGCGGCUCGGAGAAGAACGAGCAGUUCGUGCGCUGGUUUCACGAGGCGUGGCCAUAUUUCAGAGCUCACAGGGGCGGCACUUUCGUCGUCGUCGUCGUCUCCGGCGAAAUCGUCGCUAGUCGGCACUUGGAUCCGGUUCUCAAGGCACGCGUCGGUUUUUCCUCACUUCUUCUGUUUCGUUUCUGAUUUGUGGUUUGGCUGCAUGUUAAUGCUGUGAGGAUUCAGGAAGAACAAAAGCGCGGACCCGUUCUAUUGUGGAAUGCUCCAAGUGAUUAAAUUCGCGUUCUUCAUGCCUUGUAGCUGACUUACUUUUAUUUAUCCAAACAAUGGGCAAAGAAAGUAUAUGUUCUGCUAAUGUUUGCAUGAGGUGCAACUGAGCAUUUGUUUUUAUGUCUGUUGCAUGGAUUGGAUCUCAAUUUUAGAAGUGGCUAGGUCUUGUUUGUGUGGCCUGCUUUUGUUUCUAUAAAAUCAAUUUUCAACAAUAGACCUUUAAUUGCUGAUACUAAGCAUGUCUUCGUAGGACAUGAGCCUAACUAUGUUGGAAGAUACAGAAUAACAGACACUAAAUCUCUGGAAGCAGCUAUGGAAGCAGCUUGAGGUACUUGUUUAAUGAUAGAGGCUAAACUAUCUCCUGGACCCCCAAUAUCCACUAUGCGCUGUCAUGGGCAUAGUAGCUGUUUGCAUGAAGUUGGUUUAAGUGUCGCAAGUGGUAACUUUCUUGCAGCCAAGGUAACGGUUUACAUGGUUACUGUCUUGGUCAAUAUCUCGAAUUAGUUUAACGAACAGUUCACAUUUCUCCUAUCAUCGUUCUGCUUUGGCAGCUAUAGUAAUGUUGAUUAUUUUAUUUGUAGUGAAGAGGAGUUAUUGAAGGUGUUGAUUUUGGGGCAAUGGGUGAAGUAAAGAAAGUGGAUGUUUCUCGUAUUCGUGAGAGGCUUGAUGGUGGAUGUAUAGUUGUAUUAAGCAACCUGGGCUAUUCCAGCUUUGGAGAAGUUUUGAAUUGCAAGUAUGGAUUAUUGAUUUUGAUGCCUUGAAAAAAAAAAAGAAAAAAAAAAAGAACCUGUUGGAACUUGGAACCAACCCCGGAACCUGUGACAGGAUAGGUUCCAGGUUCUUGGUUUUGACGGGUAGAUUCCAGGUUCCUCAAUUUGAGGAACCUGUAUCCGAGGGUAGGUUCCAGGUUCCAGACGGAACCGAACCGGAAACCGGAAACCGCUCACCCCUACUGCCAAGUUUCCUUAGACUUUAAUUGCUAGUGUAGUAUAAUAAUAAAUGCAGCUAUCGGGGGAAUGUUGUCGCAGUGGGACUGCUGGUGUUGGGGUAGGGACUAGAGAAAGUGAUAUAAUAAUCCCAUUUCCUUACCGCCGCCUUCCUUCCUUUGUCUUUUUGUUUAUUAACGCCGAGAAGUGAUGGAGGGAGAGACGUGUAUAUAUAUAUAGAAGAGAGUCAUUUACUAAGGUGAGCGUUGUAUUUUGGGUCCAGGUGAUCAUGAAUUCUGAUUCAAAGACACUCUGCUUUGCUUUGUUAAAAUAAUAAAGGCAGGCGAGUAAUUGCUUCCAACAACGGUGAUUUGUCUCUAAAAUUCUUGAGGUUCGAUUUGACAAGGAGAUAAGAGGAACAUCUUUUAUAUUUAUGUCAAUUCAGUCAUUCUAACUAAUUUUGGCUAGUCAACACUAUGUGAAUAUCGACUAAUGCCAACAUAUAUAAUUUUUAAUAAUAUUUUCAUUUGCCUAAUUUUUAUUAAUUUUUCUUUUGUGUUUUUUAUCACGAUAGUGAGGAGGGUCGCGGCCCUUGCCUGGCGUCGCCCACAACCGUGCCUCGUGAUCCUGGCUCCCUACAAGUGCAUCGACUUGUCCCCGGUGAAUGUCCCCACCAAAAAAGAAAAGCUUGUAAGGCACGCCGUCUCCUUGAGCCGAUCGAUCUUGCAUCCAAGACAAUCCUCCCGAUACCGAGCCUCAAACCUAAGCCUGAGCCUUUCUUGUCCUUCUUCAACAUUGCCUCCGUGUUCUCCGCCAUCUUUGCUCCCCCUCCCUUCGCUGCUCUUCCCUUACGAUGCUUCGUAGGCAACCAAAAUAUGGAGCAAUGGUUGACUCAAAGAUUACGACCAAAACCGUUGCCAUGUGGAAGCAGGUCUCUUCCUGCAACUUGAAAAAGAUCUCGAGGCGCGGCCGCGGGGCAAGGCGGCUAUGGCCUUGCCCAUGGCCGGUUACUAUGGAGAAAAUAAAAAAAAAAAAAAAAAAGAAAAAAAAGAAAAAGAAAAAGAAGAUAAAAAAAAAAUAGUUAUGAAAAAUUAGCCAUAGCAACGUCGAGCAGAUCCUCGACGUUCAUCUUACUGUCGACUGAUUAAAAUUGACCGAAUGGAUUGAAUUAACACAGAUGCAAAAGAUUUGACAAAGAGUAUAUAAUAUAUUUGCAUGUAAAUUAAUUUCGAUAUUUGAAAGUUUUUGGUGGAAAAAUUUCUCAUCUAUUGCGCAAUUACUAUAAUGAAAAUGAAAAUCUUUUUUUUAGUAGGUAUGAUUAUUUUAGUGUCCUUUAAAGCACUCUUUAAUAAGAUCUUUAUAAAUUUUUAAAAGGCUCUCAAAAGUAGAUAAAGAGGACGUUCCUCGCUCCCUCUCACUACUUUCGUUUACAUAGGGAACAAAAAUUUUACCAAACAUGUUUCUAUUUCUUUUUUCAUUCCUCGGAACAAAAGAACAUAAAUAGUUGUUCUGGGGAACAUAAAUUAUUUUUACCAAACAGGCCCUAUUCUCUCUUUCUUUAAGUAGUUACUCAUAUCUAGACACUUCCGUUGCCGAAUGCAAUAAAUCAGCUAAGUCUUGGCCUUUGAAUCCUUCUCUCAAUUGGAAUUUUAAUUUGUUAAAAGCCAAAUUUGUUAAUUCUUUUUUUUUAAGAGCAAAGUGAGGCAUCUAUAUUUCUUUUUCUGCGCACAAGGCAUCUAUAUUUCUAGCGUUCUUGAAUCAAGCAAAAAACUGAUUGAUGAAUUCAUUAUUGUAUUUGGUAAAGUCUAGCCAAAUUAACAAUUGAUGCUUCGGGCAUGGUUCUAUAAAAUUGAGAAUAGAAUUGUCUUUCCAUCUUUACCCUAUGUUGAAUGGUAACUUAGUAUGCUAGGUAAAGACAAAUUUUGACAAAGAUAAAGGAAACAACUUACAUCUUAAGAAUUCAUUUGUUCCCGCAUCCCCGUGGUGGGCUAUAAAUCAAUUAAUGUGUCUAAUGGUUGAUUUUUCAACUUUGCUUGUGAAGAUGGGAAAGUUAUGGAUUUUAAACCUGAUAAGAAGUACCGAUUAUCGACUUACUCAAUAUAAGGUUUCCCAUAUACAAGUCUUAUAACACCCCUAUCCUACGCCGAGUGUUGUUGACUUUCAGCAAAUUGUGUUGGGUUAAAUUGAGGAUUNNNNNNNNNNNNNNNNNNNNNNNNNNNNNNNNNNNNNNNNNNNNNNNNNNNNNNNNNNNNNNNNNNNNNNNNNNNNNNNNNNNNNNNNNNNNNNNNNNNNUCUAUCUUAAUAUUAGUCGGCAAAUUAAACCCAACGUGAAUGUUCACAUUAGGUAGUGCCAAAGUAACCGCUAGCCUUAAAUUCGCUAUAUUUGGCACUGGGCCAGUCUAGUUUGCCAAAUUGUUAUUGCCGAUUUGGUUAUUUGGACUAGCAUUGUUUUGAUUAUUUUUACUACGUUGGCCUUGAUUAGAAGAUUCGAGCCUCCACAUAAUCCUUACAUGGGCUUGUCUAGUCUGACCAACAUUGUCAAGAUUAUUAAAAGCACGAAAACUAGGAAGGUACCUGUUAGCACAAGACUUGCUUGUAGUGGUUAGGUCAAGAAUCCUUGUCUUGACAGAACAUCUUUCACAAUAUUGAUGACCAUCGACUUGAUCACGUCUCACAUAGGGCUAAUGGAAUAAUUGGCCACCUGAUUUUGCUACUCCUCGAACAAUCUCUGCAUGGUUGACAUCUUACUAUGAUUUGGUGCAACUUCCCUAAACUGUUCUCUACUAAGGUGUUUAAGAAAUUUUUUUUCUACUAAGGUGUUCAGGAAGAUCAACAUCUCCAUGUUAGUUACCCUCUGCCACUUUUGGUGAGAAUGUGCUGCAGCCUUAUUAUCACCAAUUUGUGGUAAUGGGUUGUUUUUGCCAUCAACAUUGCCGGACUCUUGUUAAUUUCUAGCACUUGCCACGUAGUCUUCUCAAAUCAACAAAAUAAGCCCCAUCAAACAUGUCAAAAAGAUGUUUCACCGAAAAAUUGAAGAAAUAUAUUUAUAAAAUUGACAAAUUUGUGAAUGGUCUUUUGUUGACAGGACUAUAAAUGAUGAGAAAAUUGAACAUACACAUAUUGUUACAAUCGUGAUCAUUAAGGAAAGAUAACUACAUGAAAGUAUAGAUAAAAAUACAUUUUUAGGAGAACAUGAAGAUGUGUAAUUGAUUUGGAGGGUUCUUACAAAGUUUACACUUGAUGCAUUUAUAACUAACUAUUGACAAUUACAGAGAGGGUUACUAAGCCAUUAACCAUGCUCUAUGUGACUCCUAAUAUUCAGCAACACUAAUCUACAAAAUAGUUACAUUUGAGAUUGUCGACUCCAUUACCUUGAUGGUUACAUCGCCGCUACUUUGAUGGUUGCUUGAUUGUUGCAUCGACUCUACCACCUUGACCAUUACAUGCUUGUGUCAACGAUCUCAUCAAAUGGUGAUGGCUCUCAUUGAUAACUUGUGAUGUCUGUUGUUGAUAAUUUCACUGAUACAUUGUCGAUUUCCUUUGACUUUUUGACUGUUCUAGUUGUUGAUAACUCCUCUAAUGACCAACUUUUUUUACAUCGAUUAUGUCUGCCACUUGUCAAUAAUAAUAAUAUUGGUAAUUUUUUGGUGUUUCUACUUGAUAAGCUCAACAACUAUAGUUCAGCUGCGAAGAACUCAUCGCUAGAGAAGAGAGCAUUGUUGAUUAUGUUCGUUCUGCAUUAGCAAACCUGAGGGAGAUUGUGAAUUCACUAGAGCGCGAUCAAUUCGAAUGACAAAAAGCCUCGGAACCGGAAUGCAAGUACUGGGAGAUAAGUUGAACCGGCUUUGCUUUAAGAUUUUCUAGUGCUUUGACAUGUACACGCGGGCGACUGAAUUUUCAAUCGCCGGCCAACCACCUCGGUGGUAAAUGCUAAUCAGCUAGAGGACCUAGUUGUUCCAGUAAAAAGGUUUGAUAAUCAAACAAUAGUAGCAGAUAAAUAAUAUCGCGAGGACUAAAUUCAAGAUAUCCUUCAAGAGGUGGGACAGAAAAGAACAGAAGAAGAACACCUCAAUUGGCCGAGACGCCACUUCCCAAAAGAGAGACCGCCUAUUGACUCUCCAAAAUUAGGACUAAGGGAGCUUCCGGGUGGGCCGAAGACACUCCGUCGCUCAUAUGCAACCGCCUUUCUUAUUGUCUAUCGGGUCUUCGAACGUGAACUCAUUCAAUUAAUCCCGCACCUCGCCUUCAACGACCGGUUAAAAAUAUGCACUAGAUUUUAAAUCCCCAAAAAGACUAAUAAGGGACCCGUUCCUGAUUAGGGAAAAGGAAGUAAUUUAAAGUAAUUAUGUCAAUUUUAAAAAAUUCCUUACUUUUCGAUAGUCGAGAGCAUUUUCAUCUUUUAUCAUUUUUUGAAUUUCCUCUCUUUUUUCAUGGCUUUCCAUUUUUCCUUUGAUCAGCCACCAAUGAUGUAGGAGAGGGCCGACCCUCGCCCAACCCUUGGCCGAUGUGGCGAGGGCCACCCAUGCUGGCCACAAGCGAGGAUUACCUCACUUUAGCAAGGCAACCCUCUCUUUGGGCAAGGCCCACCCUUGCUAGAUAUGAGGAGGCGAGGGGCAAGGCAAAGGGUAGUCUCUCGUCAAAUUUGACAUAAGAUUUACUUUAAGUUUUUAUUUAAUACAAGAUCAACUUCAUAUCUUUAUUUCAAAAAAUGGAUGCACUUCAUGUAUUUAUUUGGAAUUUUCCUACAAAGAAAAGCUCUCAUUUUUCUUUCUUCGCGUUAUAAAUUAAAAUUAUAAUGGGUCAACUUAUUUUCACGUUGUGAGCAAGUACCAUGACCAAAUUAUAAAUAUGAACCGGAUUUCGAAUCCCCCAAAACCAUAAAAGGACCCGUCCCUGACCGGGGGAAAUCUUCCAAGAUACUCCCCCAAAUCGUCAAGACCUCACUGCAAUUGCAUCGUCUUUCUUCCUCUUCUCUCGAGAAAAUCUGUGCAGAAAAACCAUGUCGUCGACUGACAAUAUCAUCAUCCUCCAGAGCUCAGGCGGAGAGUCCUUCGCGGUGGAGAAGGCGGUGGCUCGGCAGUCCCGUACCAUUGCUCAAAUGAUCGAGAUGGACGUCCCCGCCGAUGGCAUCCCCCUCCCCAACGUCACCGGCAAGAUCCUCUCCAAGGUCAUCGACUACUGCAAGAUGCACGUCGUUGACACCGAUCGCGACUCCUCCGUCGCCGGCGACGACUUCAAGGCCUGGGAUGCUGAGUUCGUCAAGGUCGACCUGGCCACUCUCUUCGAUCUCAUGCUGGUCAGUGGUCUUUCCCUUACCCACUCUUCGGUUGCGGAAUCUCGCGUAGAAUUUGGGUUUCGUGGGAGAUUUUGUACGGUGAUAUUGUUUUUUUGCCUUGUCUAGGCGUUUCUCGGCUAGUGUGAGAGUUUGAUGUUGAUUUUGCUGAUUAUUGUGGUGGAUGAUUCUCUGUUUCAUGUGGCUUUUGAUGAUUUCAGUACCAUUUUUUGGAACUCAUCUCAGUUGCAUUCUUAAGCGAUAAUGACUUUAUGACUUGGGGUUCUUGCUUUGUGAAUGCGGAGGUUUGCCUAUUUCUGCAGCACCAUCAUAGUUUAAUUAAUGAACUUGCGAAGUUGUGUGCUCUGUGGUUCCGCUUGAUAUGUCAUAGGCGGCCAAUUAUCUGAACAUCAAGGGCUUGCUGGAUCUCACCUGCCAAACUGUGGCUGACAUGACUAAGGGGAAGACACCCGAGGGGAUCGCAAAGACGUUCGGUAUCAAGAAAGAUUUCAUGCCCAAGGAAGAGGAAGAUAUACGAGGUCCUCAGCUCCCUCCCUCAUGUCCGAAUACAAAUACAAAUACAAAUAAACUAACCCCUUUCUUUCCGCAAACUACAGUUCUUCAUUGCCGAUCGGGCAUGGACUUCUUCUGCAAUGCCAAGGCCGUGUGCCUCCGGAGCUGUGACGGCCAGUACCUUGUUGUGGUGGUUGAUGAGGUCGUCAUCCUUCAUGAUGGGGAGACGCGACUAGGAGAAAGCACCUGGCAGGAGGAGACCGGACGACAAGACAGCACCAGGUGGUCUGUCGAGUUCAUCGACAACACCAAUUCCUUCCUCCGCCUCAAGAGCUGCUAUGGCAAGUACCUCACUGCCUCCGACCAGCCCUCCCUCUUCGGCAUGACUGGCUGCAAGGUCCUCCUUUCACUCCCUUCCCUCCUGGACUCCUCCCUCGAGUUGGAGCCUGUGAUGGAGGGAACACACGUCAAGCUCCGAACCCACUAUGACACCUUCCUCCGUGCCAACCGCGACCACCCCAUGUAUCCCAACUCUAUCACCCACAACCUUCCCCACCGCACUACCAUCCUCUGGGAUGUCGAGGUCGUAGAGAGAGAAGAAGGAACUGCUACCAAUAUAGAUGAUAAAGCAUCAAAAGAAGGAUCCUCUUCCAAUAGUGACGAUAAAGCAUCUUCUGUCACCAAAAGGCAUCACAAAACAGGGGAAGGAAGUUCUGUUUACCAAAAGUCCUUUCAGGGGAUUCAGGAUUUGAUUCGAGAAAGAUGAUUUAUUCGGAUUUCGCUAUCAUUUUUGGGAGCUGAAGAGACAGCUUUGGAUCAACUCCGGAAGGAAGGAAUAUGUUGGUAAGGAGAGGGCCGGGGACGACGGCCUUGGUCAGGGAGGUGUGUGCAGAUGUCCGGGAGCAUUUUGAUACCAUCACCUGGAUUAGCAUUCCACAGGAAAAUGAUUCCGUGUUGAUCCGUGAAGAAAUAUUUCUGCAACUUAUUUAUGAGAGGGCCGCCUUACCUGAAAACUUUGACAUGAAUACUUGGAUGUGGAAGGACCAUGACUUCUCCUUACAGCAAAAGGCAAGAUGCCUCGUUGUGGUCGAUAAUUUAGACCAUCUGAGAACUUGGGAAAAGUUCAAAGAAAUCUCGUGUCUAGUCGAGACAUGCCAAGUGAUCUUCAUAGACAAGCGUGAUAUGGAUUCAUCGUACAGGAAAAUCAAAGAGCAUGGCUACAAAUUCGAAUCUUAUGAACUGAAGGGUCCAUUGUAUCUGCCAUGGGCACACUAUUUAAAGAAUUUCCUGGAAAAGAUUUUUCCUCCUCCAUGGAAGCGACUUUGCGAACUCUUUGUUAGCAAGUGUAAGAGACUUCCUACAGCAAUCGUUUGUGUCUUGCGCAACCGGGAAAAAGAGGCGGUACCGCUCAUCUUAUACAAUAAAGGAUGAAUGGGAGGUGAGGAUCCCUCGGAUAACCUCUGUGAUGAAUUUCACGUUAUCCAACAAGUGUUGAAUAUCUUUCUUACUGAGGAACUCUUCUGGUUUUUGUAUUUGAGCAUU